rnacentral:rRNA from 1 species
CUACGGAAUAGCCCCGGGAAACUGGGAGUAAUACCGUAUACGCCCUUUGGGGGAAAGAUUUAUCGGAGAAGGAUCGGCCCGCGUUGGAUUAGGUAGUUGGUGGGGUAAUGGCCCACCAAGCCGACGAUCCAUAGCUGGUUUGAGAGGAUGAUCAGCCACACUGGGACUGAGACACGGCCCAGACUCCUACGGGAGGCAGCAGUGGGGAAUCUUAGACAAUGGGGGCAACCCUGAUCUAGCCAUGCCGCGUGAGUGAUGAAGGCCUUAGGGUUGUAAAGCUCUUUCAGCUGGGAAGAUAAUGACGGUACCAGCAGAAGAAGCCCCGGCUAACUCCGUGCCAGCAGCCGCGGUAAUACGGAGGGGGCUAGCGUUGUUCGGAAUUACUGGGCGUAAAGCGCACGUAGGCGGACUGGAAAGUUGGGGGUGAAAUCCCGGGGCUCAACCUCGGAACUGCCUUCAAAACUAUCAGUCUGGAGUUCGAGAGAGGUGAGUGGAAUUCCGAGUGUAGAGGUGAAGAUUCGAUAGAUAUU